rnacentral:rRNA from 1 species
UUAAGAAUAAAUAAUUUAAAAUAAAUUCUGCCCUAUGAUACAUUAAAUGGCCGCGUUAAUCCGUGCAAAGGUAGCAUAAUAAUUUGCCUCUUAAUUGGUGGCUGGUAUGAACGAAUAAACUUAUAAAAAUUUUAUUAGAUUAAUCACAUGGAAAUUGGCGUUAAAGUGAAGAGACUUUAAUUGAUUUAAAAGACAAAAAGACCCUAAGAGUUUUACUUUAUAAAAGUUUAGUUGGGGAAACUGAGAAAUAUAUAAAACUUUCUUGAAUGUAAGCGAUGUAUUAUCCCACCAAUCUACCCUGUGUGAAUACUUAAAACUACCUUAGGGAUAACAGAUCAAUCUAUUUUGUGAGUUCAUAUUAACAAAUAGGCUUGAUACCUCGAUGUUGGCUUAGAAAUUAAAUUAAAUGAAGGAGUUUGAAUUUAUAGUUUGUUCAACUAUUAAAUUUCCACGUGAUCUGAG